AUUGAAACACCAGUUCUCUUACGAUCAUCAAAGUUAAGCAACCAUAAGUGUGGUCAAUAGCUAGAUGUGUGACCUCUUGGGAAUACCAAGUGCUGUAAG